rnacentral:rRNA from 1 species
UACGUAGGGUGCGAGCGUUGUCCGGAAUUAUUGGGCGUAAAGGGCUCGUAGGCGGUUUGUCGCGUCGGGAGUGAAAACCCAGGGCUUAACUCUGGGCUUGCUUUCGAUACGGGCAGACUAGAGGUAUGCAGGGGAGAACGGAAUUCCACGUGUAGCGGUGAAAUGCGUAGAGAUGUGGAGGAACACCAGUGGCGAAGGCGGCUUUCUGGUCUGUAACUGACGCUGAGGCGCGAAAGCGUGGGGAGCAAACAGG